UUUAGUAAACAAAAAAGUCAACGUAAAUCUAACUUAAUCCAACAAACCAUGACAUUGAAACAAAAUUAAGAUCCUAUACACUUUUAGUCCCACCUGGCCUAACANNNNNUUCUCAUAUCAAAUCUGAAAGUCCAUUGUUUGAGAAAAUUUCAACAAAAAAAAAAAAGAUCUCAUUGUCUUUAAUGUAUUUCCAAUCAAAAGUAGUAGUCUAACAUAACUACCUUUCACGUAUAAAGGGCUCAAAUUCUCAAUUAGUUAGAACUAUCAUUGAUUGAGAACAUGGUUUGUUGAGAAUAAUCACAGACUUGAGCAAAAAGUGAAGUUAAAGAUUUAGAAUUUCAAAUUUAUGAAGCAGCUAAAAUCAUACAUGAAUAUAAGCAUUGAAAACCAUUUACCUCAUUAAUAUUAAUAUAUGCCGUAACCAUAUGAAAACUUCUUGUGACAGUCUUUGUCAACUCAAACAUUAGUAAAAGAAAGUGAAUAUAAAAUAACAAUAGUAAAAGAAAGAAAGUAAAUGACCUCACAACGAUCUUCACCAUUUAUAUAGCACUAAAGUGUUUUAUUUUAUAUCACAGAGUUUUAUAAAGCACAAAAUGCAUAUAUUCAUAAAUAUUAAACCAAAAAUUAACAAAUCUCAUAUUCACAAACAAAACCAUCACCCCANNNNNN
rnacentral:lncRNA from 1 species